UGGGGAAUAUUGCACAAUGGAGGGAACUCUGAUGCAGCGACGCCGCGUGAACGAAGAAGGCUUUCGAGUCGUAAAGUUCUUUUAUAUGGGAAGAUAAUGACGGUACCAUAAGAAAAAGCCCCGGCUAACUACGUGCCAGCAGCCGCGGUAAUACGUAGGGGGCUAGCGUUGUCCGGAAUCACUGGGCGUAAAGGGUUCGCAGGCGGAAAUGCAAGUCAGGUGUAAAAGGCAGUAGCUUAACUACUGUAAGCAUUUGAAACUGCAUAUCUUGAGAAGGGUAGAGGUAAGUGGAAUUUUUAGUGUAGCGGUGAAAUGCGUAGAUAUUAAAAAGAAUACCGGUGGCGAGGGCGACUUACUGGGCUCAUUCUGACGCUGAGGAACGAAAGCGUGGGUAGCAAACAGG
rnacentral:rRNA from 1 species